UUAAAAGUAAUUUAAUUAUUAAAUUAUUAUUAGUUAAGAUCUUUAAAAUUAAAAAUUUUGGCGGUAUUUUAGUCUAUUCAGAGGAACCUGUUCUGUAAAUGAUAAUCCACGAUUAAAUUUACUUUUAUUUUUAAUUUAUAUAUCAUCGUAAUAAAAUAUUUUUUUAGAAUUAUAAUAUUUAAAAUUUUAAAUUAAAAAAUUAAUCAGAUCAAGGUGUAGUUGAUAUAAAAGAAGAAAUGGGUUACAUUUAAUUUUAUUUUUAGAAAUUUAAUAGUAUAUUAAAUUGAAAAUGGAUUUGAUUGUAAUAUUAAUAAUUUUAUUAAUAUGAUUUUAGCUCUAAAGUAUGU
rnacentral:rRNA from 1 species